UGAGAUGUCUUCGUGGGUGGGCAGGAGGAAGGAAUGUGUAGGGCUGAUGCUCCUGGUCCUUCCUCUUCUCCCAUCAGAUGAGGGAGGACCAGGAGCAUCA